rnacentral:rRNA from 1 species
GACGAACGCUGGUGGCGUGCUUAACACAUGCAAGUCGAACGGAAAGGCCCUGCUUUUGUGGGGUGCUCGAGUGGCGAACGGGUGAGUAACACGUGAGUAACCUGCCCUUGACUUUGGGAUAACUUCAGGAAACUGGGGCUAAUACCGGAUAGGAGCUCCUGCUGCAUGGUGGGGGUUGGAAAGUUUCGGCGGUUGGGGAUGGACUCGCGGCUUAUCAGCUUGUUGGUGGGGUAGUGGCUUACCAAGGCUUUGACGGGUAGCCGGCCUGAGAGGGUGACCGGCCACAUUGGGACUGAGAUACGGCCCAGACUCCUACGGGAGGCAGCAGUGGGGAAUAUUGCACAAUGGGCGGAAGCCUGAUACAGCAACGCCGCGUGCGGGAUGACGGCCUUCGGGUUGUAAACCGCUUUCGCCUGUGACGAAGCGUGAGUGACGGUAAUGGGUAAAGAAGCACCGGCUAACUACGUG